rnacentral:rRNA from 1 species
CCUGAUGCAGCGACGCCGCGUGAGGGAUGACGGCCUUCGGGUUGUAAACCUCUUUCAGCAGGGACGAAGCGCAAGUGACGGUACCUGCAGAAGAAGCACCGGCCAACUACGUGCCAGCAGCCGCGGUAAGACGUAGGGUGCGAGCGUUGUCCGGAUUUAUUGGGCGUAAAGAGCUCGUAGGCGGCUUGUCGCGUCGACCGUGAAAACUUGGGGCUCAACCCCAAGCCUGCGGUCGAUACGGGCAGGCUAGAGUUCGGUAGGGGAGACUGGAAUUCCUGGUGUAGCGGUGAAAUGCGCAGAUAUCAGGAGGAACACCGGUGGCGAAGGCGGGUCUCUGGGCCGAUACUGACGCUGAGGAGCGAAAGCGUGGGGAGCGAACAGGAUUAGAUACCCUGGUAGUCCACGCUGUAAACGUUGGGCGCUAGGUGUGGGGGGCCUCUCCGGUUCCCUGUGCCGCAGCUAACGCAUUAAGCGCCCCGCCUGGGGAGUACGGCCGCAAGGCUAAAACUCAAAGGAAUUGACGGGGGCCCGCACAAGCGGCGGAGCAUGCGGAUUAAUUCGAUGCAACGCGAAGAACCUUACCUGGGUUUGACAUGGCCGCAAAACUUCCAGAGAUGGGAGGUCCUUCGGG